rnacentral:rRNA from 1 species
UUGGAGGGCAAGUCUGGUGCCAGCAGCCGCGGUAAUUCCAGCUCCAAUAGCGUAUAUUAAAGUUGUUGCAGUUAAAAAGCUCGUAGUUGAAUUUCGGGAUCAAUAUGCCGGUCAUGCCUUGGUAUGCACUGGUAUCUUUGAUUUCUCCCUUCUGACGAACUUUGAUGUCAUUAAUUUGGUGUCAUAGGGAAUCAGGACUGUUACUUUGAAAAAAUUAGAGUGUUUAAAGCAGGCUCACGCUUGAACACAUUAGCAUGGAAUAAUGAAAUAGGACGUUUGAUUCUAUUUUGUUGGUUUCUAGGAUCGACGUAAUGAUUAAUAGGGAUAGUUGGGGGCAUUAGUAUUCAAUUGUUAGAGGUGAAUUUCUUGGAUUUAUUGAAGACUAACUACUGCGAAAGCAUCUGCCAAGGAUGUUUUCAUUAAUCAAGAACGAAAGUUAGGGGAUCGAAGACGAUCAGAUACCGUCGUAGUCUUAACCAUAAACUAUGCCGACUAGGGAUCGGAUGAUGUUGAUUUUUUAAUGACUCAUUCGGCGCCUUACGGGAAAC